CCUACGGGAGGCAGCAGUAGGGAAUAUUGGGCAAUGGAGGCAACUCUGACCCAGCCAUGCCGCGUGCAGGAAGACGGUCCUCUGGAUUGUAAACUGCUUUUGAAUGGGAAGAAUGUGCUCCUUGCGAGGGGUAAUGACGGUACCAUUAGAAUAAGCCACGGCUAACUACGUGCCAGCAGCCGCGGUAAUACGUAGGUGGCGAGCGUUAUCCGGAUUUAUUGGGUUUAAAGGGUGCGUAGGCGGCUUAAUAAGUCGGUGGUUAAAAGUAGCAGCUUAACUGUUUUACAUGCCAUCGAUACUGUUGAGCUUGAGAUAUUUGGAGGCAGCUAGAAUUUCCGGUGUAGCGGUGAAAUGCAUAGAUACCGGAAGGAAUACCAAUUGCGAAGGCAGGUUGCUACGAAUAAACUGACGCUGAUGCACGAAAGCGUGGGGAUCAAACAGGAUUAGAUACCCUGGUAGUCCACGCCGUAAACGAUANAUACUAGUGUUAGGUUAGUCUCNGUGACGACGGAACGAA
rnacentral:rRNA from 1 species